AAAGUCUGGCCUGCCCUAUGAAUAAUUAUAUUUAAAUGGCUGCGGUAUUUUGACCGUGCAAAGGUAGCAUAAUAAUUAGUUUUUUAAUUGAGAACUGGUAUGAAAGGUUUGACGAGGGAAAGACUGUCUCAAUUUAAUUUUUAUUAGAAUUUUAUUUUUAAGUAAAAAAGCUUAAAUAAUUUUAAAAGACGAGAAGACCCUAUAGAAUUUUAUAUAUAUAUAUAUAUUUAAAAAUUUAAGAAUUUUAAAAUUAAAUAUUUAUAGAAAUAUUUGAUUGGGGCAAUCGAAAAAUUUAAUGAACUUUUUUUAUAUUAAAACAUUAAUUUAUGAAUAAAUGAUCCA
rnacentral:rRNA from 1 species